AGCUUUGUUCAGGGAAGCAAAGUAAUUAUCUAUUGGGAUGAUUAUUGCGUACCGAAAAGGAAAAAAGAAAGAGGUGACCUGAAGCAAGUUGAUGUCUCAAUUAUAACAUCUAAUUUUUCAAAUCAUUAAAAAUACAAGGGCAGGGAGUUGUACCAUGCGAUGAAAAAGAUUUUGCUCUUCUGGCAGUUCUCAGGGGUGGUGAAAUCAUAGUCAUAGACAGCAUAUCGGCACUCAUCCUCGGGAAUAGAUCUGGUGAAAUCUUCGUAAGUUUCUUCUGGAUUCCCAAGCUUGUCUAUCAUAACUUGCUGAGCCUUCUCAUCAAUUUUGAACACAAUGAACCUAUAGUUCCUCUUUGCUUUUAACUCCAAGAACUUGAGCUUGCACUCAUCGCUAACGUGCAUCCCAGACGCUGAAUUAGCCUGCACAGUCAAACACAUGCAUAGUCAGUUAACUUAUAUGAUCACAAUACAUUACAUGAAUGGCAAUACCAGAUUGAUAAAAAUGAAAUGUAGGAAGAGACCAUUGUUCUCUGCUUGAAAUUGGGGCUUGAUGAUCUGAAAGUAGAGAAGGUAGGGGGG